AACGAACGCUGGCGGCAUGCCUAACACAUGCAAGUCGAACGGGAUCCUGGCUUCGGCCAGGUGAGAGUGGCGGACGGGUGAGUAACGCGUGGGAACCUGCCCAUUGGUCUGGGAUAACUGCGGGAAACUGCAGCUAAUACCGGAUGUACCCGAGAGGGGAAAGAUUUAUCGCCGAUGGAGGGGCCCGCGUCAGAUUAGGUAGUUGGUGAGGUAACGGCUCACCAAGCCUACGAUCUGUAGCUGGUCUGAGAGGAUGAUCAGCCACACUGGGACUGAGAUACGGCCCAGACUCCUACGGGAGGCAGCAGUGGGGAAUAUUGGACAAUGGGGGCAACCCUGAUCCAGCAAUGCCGCGUGAGUGAUGAAGGCCUUAGGGUUGUAAAGCUCUUUUGCCAGGGAAGAUGAUGACUGUACCUGGAGAAUAAGCCCCGGCUAACUUCGAGCCAGCAGCCGCGGUAAU
rnacentral:rRNA from 1 species